rnacentral:lncRNA from 1 species
UCAUAUUCUCCAUCUUCUAAACCCUAGCCAUCCUCGAGUUCCGCCAUUUUCACAUGCAAACGGAGCUUCAAAUCUCACCAAAUCUUAACCAUCCCUUCCCCAUACUCCCUCAAGUACUAGGCUAGUAAAACAUUUUUCCCAAAAUCCUCACCCUUGGCUCCAAAUCAUGAAUAUGACGUCAGAGUUGGGGUUCAAGUCAUGUGC